GAUCCUGGCUCAGGAUGAACGCUAGCGGCAGGCUUAACACAUGCAAGUCGAGGGGCAGCAUAAUGGAUAGCAAUAUCUAUGGUGGCGUACCGGCGCACGGGUGCGUAACGCGUAUGCAACCGUACCUUUAACAGGGGGAUAACACUGAGAAAUUGGUACUAAUACCCCGAUAAUAUCAUAGAAGGCAUCUUUUAUGGUUGAAAAUUCCGAUGGUUAGAGAUGGGCAUGCGUUGUA
rnacentral:rRNA from 1 species